rnacentral:tRNA from 1 species
GGAGCUUAUCUCAGCAGGUUCAGAGCAUCCCGCCUAAGCGGGAGGGUCACAGGUUCCCUGCCCGUCCGGUCAGGCGGGGAAUCCUGUAGCUCCCA